GAUGAAGAACGCAGCGAAAUGCGAUACUUGGUGUGAAUUGCAGAAUCCCGUGAACCAUCGAGUCUUUGAACGCAAGUUGCGCCCGAAGUCGUCAGGCCGAGGGCACGCCUGCCUGGGCGUCACACGCCGUUGCCCCCCCGCGCCCCGCACCCAACUCUUUGGGAGCGACCGCGGGGCGGGCUGAUGAUGGCCUCCCGUGCGCUCCGCCGCGCGGUUGGCCCAAAUACCGAGUCCCCGGCGACGUGCGCCACGACGAUCGGUGGUUGAGAGACCUCUGUCGCAAGUCGUGCGCGCCCGUCGCGUCACGCGGGCUCGCAUAGCGCCUCGCGCCGCACCCGGUGCGGAGCUUUCAACGCGACCCCAGGUCAGGCGGGGUUACCCGCUGAAUUUAAGCAUAUCAAUAAGCGGAGGA
rnacentral:misc_RNA from 1 species